rnacentral:rRNA from 1 species
CGAAAAGGCAUCAUUCGCCGCUCAGCACGGAGACCUUGCAACCCUUAGGGGAGGCAGCACGACAGUAAACAAAGCUUGCCGUUUGCAAGUCGGCCAAUCGGUCGGCAACACAAUCGAAUUGACGGGGACCUCCUAAAGCCUGUAACACCAACCGUCCGGGGAAACUCGGGCGGGGCCCUCACGGGGUGGUAAGAGAGUACAGGAUGUAACAAUGGACAAUCCGCAGCGAAGACCCUACCGGCUCCGGCCCACGGGUACCGUUCACAGACUAAGUGAUUGUGGGCGGGGCGAUCGUGCCCUGUCUAAGAUAUAGUCGGACUCUACCCGAAAGGAUAGAGGAUAGCAUGUCCGUAGGUGAACCUGCGGAAGGAUCAUUAAAGAAUGCCCCGUUUUUUGAAAUGGGUUCUAUUCCCAAACCGUGUAUACAUACCUUUGUUGCUUUGGCAGGCCGCCUUCGGGCGUCGGCUCACGCUGACCGCGCCUGCCAGAGGACCCAAACUCGAUUGUUUAGUGAUGUCUGAGUACUAUAUAAUAGUUAAAACUUUCAACAACGGAUCUCUUGGUUCUGGCAUCGAUGAAGAACGCAGCGAAAUGCGAUAAGUAAUGUGAAUUGCAGAAUUCAGUGAAUCAUCGAAUCUUUGAACGCACAUUGCGCCCCUUGGUAUUCCGAGGGGCAUGCCUGUUCGAGCGUCAUUAUGACCACUCAAGCCUAGCUUGGUAUUGGGGUUCGCGGUCUCGCGGCCCUUAAAAUCAGUGGCGGUGCCAUCUGGCUCUAAGCGUAAUAAUUCAUCUCGCUAUUGGGUCCGGUGGUUGCUUGCCAACAACCCCCAACUUCUAAGGUUGACCUCGGAUCACGUAGGGAUACCCGCUGAACUUA